AGAAGCAAAGGCCUACUACUCUACUAGUAAAGUAAGCUGGUCAAGUCAAAAGAAGGUUCCUGACUAUCUAGUAAAUGAGUGCACGAAGAAAGGGAAUGGCAUGUUCACAAACUAGUACUUUUCUCCCGGUAGGUAUGUUUUACAAUAGGCAUGUGCCAUGAAGCAAGAAAAGGAAACAUGUAGAUAAUGUUCUAACGUGCCCCUAUUUACGACGAUUCUUGCUGGGGCGGACACGGAUUUCUCUCUAAAGGCGAAGAAAAAGAAGUGGGCGAACACUCGGCCCAGCGGGCGAACAUGCCGGCUCCGGCUCCGCGCACCUGCUGACACCUUUCGAAGCAUCCCCACCUUCCUCCAGUAUCUCACUGGCAGUCCCUCGUGAGUGCGGCACGCACCUUUUUCUUUGUUUGGG
rnacentral:lncRNA from 1 species